UCCGAAAUAACAAAACAAAAAAUAAAAAAACAAAAAACUAUUCAUCUGAUCAUCUCUCUCUCUCUCUCUCUCUCUGCGAUGACUGUUAGUGUUACCAAUGGCGAGUUUCUCAGUGUAGACGAAUAAUGAAUUGAGUUUACAUUUUUCAUUCUGUAACGUUUACAACUUUGCAUUUACACUGGUUAAUUGGCUAAGAACCACUAUCACUCCUCCAAUUUACUCAGUGCUUCAUGCUUAAUUUCUAUUCUAUUCUGAUACCUAAAAAUUUCUAAGCGCCAAACUCGAAUUGCUAUAUAAGCUUGUUGGAGGAAUAGCUCCAAUAUCUUGAGAUAAGAUGCCGAGAAUGGAAGACAUUCUAAACCUUCCAGUUCAAGAUCCCCGGUGUGCUGAGUUCUCUGCUGCUCACAUAAAUUGGGUGAAAUUAGAGGGUGGUCGCCAAGGGGGUGAUGAUAUUGCUCUGAUUCCUUUUGUUAGAGUGGAUGAUUUUGUGAAAGGGGAGUCUUCAAAUCCAGAAUGUCCUGCUAGCUUCCGUGUAGAAUCAAGGAGGAAGAGACCUGAGGGGAGCGUCACUAAACCGAGGGUUGACGGCUAUCUUGAAUAUACCUUGUACUGGUGUUCUUAUGGUCCUGAGGACUAUCGAGAAGGUGACUCGUGCAUAGGAGAUAGCAAAAGUACCAAGCCUGCUUCAGGGAAGGGAAGCAGACCAGGGAGGCGUCAUAUGAUGAGAGGCUGCCUUUGCCAUUUCACUGUUAAAAGAUUAUAUACACGCCCUCUUCUUGCUCUAAUCAUAUAUAACCAAAGAAGGCAUGUAGAUAAAACAGGGGCACCGUGUCAUGGAAUACUUGAUAGGGAUGCAAUAGGAACAAGAGCUAUGUAUGCUCCACGCAUUUCCGAUGAGUUACGCCAGAAAGUGAUGUCUAUGCUUUAUGUUGGGAUAUCUCUUGAUAACAUAAUACAGCACCAUGUAGAGGUGAUGCAGAAGCAAGGUGGACCCCAAAACCGUGAUGAUUUUCUCACUCGAAAUGAUGUGCGCAACAUGGAACGGAGUAUCCGUAAUUCUUCACAUGAACUGCAGGAAAACGAUGAAUGCAGUGUAAAGAUAUGGGUCCAACGCCAUCAGAAGCAUGUUUUCUAUCACCAAGAUAACUCAGGUUCACAAUCAUUUGUUUUGGGCAUACAGACAGAUUGGCAGCUGCAACAGAUGAUUCGCUAUGGAAAUAACAGUUUCAUUUCUUUUCAUUCAACAUUUGGCUUGAAGAAGCUUAAGUAUCCAGUGUGUUCGUUACUUGUUUUUGGUUCAUCUCAAAAUGCAAUUCCAGUUGCUUGGAUAAUCACCUCAUCCUUUGUUGGAAAAGACAUACAUAAAUGGAUUGCAUUGCUAUCUGAAAAGAUAAGAGCCAAGGAUCCUAGAUGGAGGCCUAGUGCUAUUAUACUGGAUAAUCCAUCUUUUGACUAUAAUACCAUAAGAGAGGCAUUCCAGUGUCGCAUCUUGUUAUGUGCCUGGCAUGUUCGCCGUUCUUGGAUCAAAAAGCUUUUUAAGACAUGUUGCAACUUUGAGGUGCAAAGGGAGAUGUUACGGCACCUGGGAUGGAUUCUUUACUGUACAAGAUGUGGACCAAAUGCUAUGGAUGCACUUGAAGAGUUUAUGCAAAUUUUUGUUGAUCAAUGUGCUUUCAUGGACUAUUUCAAGAGCAAGUGGCUACCAAGUAUAGAUAUGUGGAUUAAUGGCAUAAAGUCACUACCGUUGACAAUGCCCGAGUCACUUGCUGCAAUAGAAUCAUAUCACAUAAAAUUAAAAUCCACACUUUUGAAAGAGAAUAAUGCUAAUUUCUGGCCAAGACUUGACUGGUUAAUUCACACUUUAACUACUGGAUUUCUCUCCUUGUAUUGGCUAGACCAAUACAGUUUAGAUACUGGCUAUUUUGAGAAUCUACAAGACAAAUCUUUAUCUGCCAAUGCUUGGUAUCACGCGCUCAAUAUUCCAGAUGUUGAUGUGAUACUGGAUGAGCAAAAUCUCUGUCACGCAAAAGUUUUUUCUCAGACUGACAGAAACUUGGUGUAUACAGUUUGGAAUCCUGGCUCAGAAUUUUCACUUUGUGAUUGUUCUUGGUCUAGGUUGGGAAACCUUUGUAAACAUGUAAUCAAGGUGGCAACUUUCUGUAGAAGUCGGCAGGUUACAAGGCCAUUGUUGUCUGCUCAAGUUUAUAAACAGGCUUUGCUCACCCUUCUCCAUAAUCCACCAGAUGAUCCUUUAGUCCUUGAUCAUACCGUUCUACAUGUGGCUCGUUUGCAACAAGACAUUAAAGCCUUGGAAGAAUUGUCAAAUAGUGGAUUGCUCCAGCCUUUAGCCUCCGAUUUAAGUUCUCAAAUGGCCAUAAAUCCUCUCCUUUUUCAGCAUCUACAUUGAUUGCUGGUGUUUUUGAAUGGAAUGAGAAGUGGAUUUACUCCAGCCAAAGCUGUUGAUUUAAUUUAUCAAAUGGCUACAAGUCCUCCCACUUGGCAGUAGCUGCACUGAUUGGCAUGUUUUGAAAGAAGAUUGAUUGUGUUUGGGUUAAAGCUCAUUCUCAUGCUUCUUUAAUCAAGGGUAAUACUAUGGUGAGGAGUGAAAUUUUGAUGAAGAGUGAAGAUUACUUAUUUUAAUAAAGAAAAAGACCACACAAAAAAAUUAUCAUGCGCAAUGCACAUGUUCUUUAUAAAUUUAGUAAAAAUCUUCACUCUUCAUCCAAUUCUACUCUUCACCAAAGAAAUUCUCUUUAAUCAAUCUUACUUCAUGAUCCUUGAGCAGUCAUUUGCUAGAGCAGAAAAAGAAUAUAUAUUCCCUGCUGAGGUUCAACAACUGCAGAAGGUAUGUGGAGAUAACCUAUGGUUAAGGUUGUGUUUGUGAGUUGUGAUUUUGGAGGAAAACAAGGGGUUUCAACAGUAACUAGGAGUCCAUUUCACUCGUCAAACCCUUCAUUUCCUUCCCGUCGCACACACGAACACAUCCUUAAGCGAAAGAACUCUAGGUUGCCAAGAUAAUUGAGAGGGGAAGGAACAAAAGGGUCCGGAGGCACGAAAUGCAUUGAGACUUUCAUUUUGUCUUUGUGUUCCCUUGGGCUCUGGCGGUAGUGAUUGGGAUUUUGAUCCCUUAUUUUCUACAUCACCAUAUUGCAUCAGGAAAUUUAGAUGGGGAACGUUUGGCAUGGGGAGUGGUCUUCCAGAAACAAGAAAUAGCAUGGAAAAUAAUAUCAACAAUGUCAAGACUCAAAGUGACCACUGGCCAGGAUACUAGUAAAAUAAUAUGUUAAGAGCACUGCUCCAUUUUUUCAUACAAUCAUACCAUGUAAUUGAUAGCAUUGUUAACCCUUAGGAAUUGUCACAUAAUUGGGUAAGAUAUUCUGUAUAUCAUUAGUAAAUUAGAUUUUGCUGCGUUGAGUGUAGCCAUAUUGUUAGAUAAGAUAAUAGUUUAGUUCAUUGUUUGACAAGGAAAAAUAAAAAGUGAACUAAGCAGGAAAUUAAUUUCUACUA